ensembl:miRNA
UAAGGAUGAGACCCUAUCAAUAUUGCCUCUGCUUUUGUGAUCAGGGUAGUAGUGCAAUAUUGCUUAUAGGGUCUUUUCUUUUGAGGGUU